CUGGAACGCGCCUCGGCGCACCCAGAAACCCUUUGUGAACUUAUACCUUACUGUUGCCUCGGCGCAGGCCGGCCCCUCCACCGGGGCCCCUCGGAGACGAGGAGCAGCCCGCCGGCGGCCAACCAAACUCUUGUUUCUUAGUGAAUCUCUGAGUAAAAAAACAUAAAUGAAUCAAAACUUUCAACAACGGAUCUCUUGGUUCUGGCAUCGAUGAAGAACGCAGCGAAAUGCGAUAAGUAAUGUGAAUUGCAGAAUUCAGUGAAUCAUCGAAUCUUUGAACGCACAUUGCGCCCUCUGGUAUUCCGGAGGGCAUGCCUGUUCGAGCGUCAUUUCAACCCUCAAGCCUGGCUUGGUGUUGGGGCACUGCUUCGAGAGAAGCAGGCCCUGAAAUCUAGUGGCGAGCUCGCCAGGACCCCGAGCGUAGUAGUUAUAUCUCGUUCUGGAAGGCCCUGGCGGUGCCCUGCCGUUAAACCCCCAACUUCUGAAAUUUUGACCUCG
rnacentral:rRNA from 1 species